rnacentral:rRNA from 1 species
CUCACCAAGUCUGCGAUCUUUAGGGGGCCUGAGAGGGUGAUCCCCCACACUGGUACUGAGACACGGACCAGACUCCUACGGGAGGCAGCAGUGAGGAAUAUUGGACAAUGGGUGCGAGCCUGAUCCAGCCAUCCCGCGUGAAGGACGACGGCCCUAUGGGUUGUAAACUUCUUUUGUAUAGGGAUAAACCUACCCUCGUGAGGGUAGCUGAAGGUACUAUACGAAUAAGCACCGGCUAACUCCGUGCCAGCAGCCGCGGUAAUACGGAGGGUGCAAGCGUUAUCCGGAUUUAUUGGGUUUAAAGGGUCCGUAGGCGGAUCUGUAAGUCAGUGGUGAAAUCUCACAGCUUAACUGUGAAACUGCCAUUGAUACUGCAGGUCUUGAGUGUUGUUGAAGUAGCUGGAAUAAGUAGUGUAGCGUGAAAUGCAUAGAUAUUACUUAGAACACCAAUUGCGAAGGCAGGUUACUAAGCAACAACUGACGCUGAUGGACGAAAGCGUGGGGAGCGAACAGGAUUAGAUACCCUGGUAGUCCACGCCGUAAACGAUGCUAACUCGUUUUUGGAUUUUCGGAUUCAGAGACUAAGCGAAAGUGAUAAGUUAGCCACCUGGGGAGUACGUUCGCAAGAAUGAAACUCAAAGGAAUUGACGGGGGCCCCGCACAAGCGGUGGAUUAUGUGGUUUAAUUCGAUGAUACGCGAGGAACCUUACCAAGGCUUAAAUGGGAAAUGACAGGUUAGAAAUAGACUUUUCUUCGGACAUUUUUCAAGGUGCUGCAUGGUUGUCGUCAGCUCGUGCCGUGAGGUGUUAGGUUAAGUCCUGCAACGAGCGCACCCCUGUCACUAGUUGCCAUCAUUAAGUUGGGGACUCUAGUGAGACUGCUACGCAAGUAGAGAGGAAGGUGGGGAUGACGUCAAAUCAUCACGGCCCUUACGCCUUGGGCCACACACGUAAUACAAUGGCCGGUACAGAGGGCAGCUACACAGCGAUGUGAUGCAAAUCUCGAAAGCCGGUCUCAGUUCGGAUUGGAGUCUGCAACUCGACUCUAUGAAGCUGGAAUCGCUAGUAAUCGCGCAUCAGCCAUGGCGCGGUGAAUACGUUCCCGGGCCUUGUACACACCGCCCGUCAAGCCAUGGAAGUCUGGGGUACCUGAAGUCGGUGACCGUAACAGGAGCUGCCUAGGGUAAAACAGGUAACUAGGGCUAAGUCGUAACAAGGUAGCCGUACCGGAAGGUGCGGCUGGAACAUCUCAUUUU